GGGACACUAUAGUCACCAGAACAACUACAGCUUAUUGAACUUGUUUUGGUGAGUAGAAUCAUUACCUUCAGGCUUUUUGCUGAAAACACUAACUUUUGAGAGAAAAUGCAGUGUUUACAUUACAGCAGACUGCUUGUUUUUCUGAGUCUAACAGCAUGCAGAGUUAUAGCUUCAGGCUUGAAUACAGUAAGAUUUUUACUAUAUUUAUCGAGGCAUGAGGGGCCCAAGUGGGUUAGAUGGUGGUUUUAACACUAUAGGGUCAGGAAUGCAUGUUUGUGUUCCUGACCCUAUAGUGAUCCUUUAAUGAAGAUGUCACAUUAGAGGCAGCAGUCCUGGGGAUUAGCUGCAAAUCAUGGACUUUGGGAUGUGAUAAUUUGUUUGUUUGUUUUUAUGCAUUAUGUCCAUGAUAGAGUAAAGGCUUAUGACAUCAACCCAGAGAAUCGAACUCUACGCCCUAAUAUCAGGGUCAUUCGAUCUCAAUUUAUACAUAUUAUGCAGGUUAAGCAAGAAAAAGCAGAUAAGCUUCUCAUCUGCAUUCGUUGAAGACUGACGUUCAAACACCACUGCCCUGCUACAUUGUAAUUAAUAUAGUUAAAAUAUUGUUAAACCAUCACAUCCAUCACAAGGUAAAUAAGUCUGACUGACAAGGACAAGUCACGGUGACUAACAUUUUAUUUGUGUUACUUAUAAAAAAUUGAUGCACGAAUGAGACACACGAAAGGUCAAAGUAUAUUGUCUAAAAUAUACAUAAAGGGGAUACGGAAUCCUAACUAACAUUUUAGACAGCAUAGAAUUAUUCACAACAUUUUAGACAAAGAAGGAAGAGGUAAGUAAUUUAGUUGGAGAAUUUCACUAUAGCUGCUACAAAAAGAGUUCUGUUGUCAAUUUGCUAUUAGCCAGUCAGACUAAAAAAAAAUAUACAAG